rnacentral:rRNA from 1 species
AGGGAAUAUUGGUCAGUGGAUGGAAGUCUGAACCAGCCAUGCCGCGUGCAGGAAGAAGGCCUUCUGGGUUGUAAACUGCUUUUGCCGGGGGAUAAAAUUCCCAUGCGUGGGACAUUGAAGGUACCCGGUGAAUAAGCCACGGCUAACUACGUGCCAGCAGCCGCGGUAAUACGUAGGUGGCAAGCGUUGUCCGGAAUCAUUGGGCGUAAAGGGCGCGUAGGUGGCCCGGUCAGUCUUUGGUGAAAGCGCGGGGCUCAACCCUGCGUCGGCCAGGGAUACUGCCGCGGCUCGAGCACUGUAGAGGCAGGCGGAAUUCCGGGUGUAGCGGUGGAAUGCGUAGAGAUCCGGAAGAACACCGGUGGCGAAGGCGGCCUGCUGGGCAGUUUGGCUGACACUGAGGCGCGACAGCGUGGGGAGCAAA